rnacentral:lncRNA from 1 species
AGGCCGCUUUGAACUUCGUGAUUGCUGGUGUGUUGAUAGCAAAGGAGAAGAGCUACAAGGAACAAAGGCAGGAGUGAACCAGGUUCCUGCGUGUCCUGGUAUAUGUGAAGGUGUGAAGCAGAAAGCCAUGAAAUUCAUGGAGGAGGCAGAGCAGCUCAUCUUAGCCUCAAAUGAGUCCCACUUUGCUUUUGGAGAGAGCUUCUUGAUGGCAAAAGGGAUACAGCUCACAGACAGGGACCUCCUGCGCUCUGCUCGGCCCUAUGAGUCACAGGUGCUGGACUCCCAAAAGCUGCUCUCAGGCAGUGACUCUGCUCUCCAGCUGGCUGCAUGGUCAGUCCUGCGCUUCUAUUGGCAGACUCACUUUUCUUCAAAAGGUUCUGCUGGGGAAGCAGCACA